rnacentral:rRNA from 1 species
UACUUGGUGGCGACCGGCGCACGGGUGAGUACGCGUAUGCAACCUACCUAUCAGAGGGGAAUAACCCGGCGAAAGUCGGACUAAUACCGCAUAAAACAGGGGCACCGCAUGGUGAUAUUUGUUAAAGAAAUUCGCUGAUAGAUGGGCAUGCGUUCCAUUAGGUAGUUGGUGAGGUAACGGCUCACCAAGCCGACGAUGGAUAGGGGAACUGAGAGGUUGGUCCCCCACACUGGUACUGAGACACGGACCAGACUCCUACGGGAGGCAGCAGUGAGGAAUAUUGGUCAAUGGGCGAGAGCCUGAACCAGCCAAGUCGCGUGAAGGAAGAAGGAUCUAUGGUUCGUAAACUUCUUUUGCAGGGGAAUAAAGUGCAGGACGUGUCCUGUUUUGUAUGUACCCUGAGAAUAAGGAUCGGCUAACUCCGUGCCAGCAGCGGC